UUUACACUUAAGUUGGUGCUAAUGAAUUGAGAAGUACAUUGUGAAUGUUUUCGUUCCCUGUAGCAUCUAUGAACGUGACGUUUUUAUUCUUUUUCUUUUUUGGCAGCAGUAGCGUUUUUCUAACCCGAGCACAUUUUUUUCAGUAGUAAAAAAAAACACAUUUGUUUUCACCACUCAAAAAAAGAAGAAGAGAAAAGACACGCCAUCACCUUGACCGUUGCAACUCCCGUCCCGAGUACCCUAGUUGGAAAUUUCCCUGUCCGUCCCCAAUUCGAGACGGAAAUCUCCCGUUCCGCUCCCGAUUCGAGACGGACGCGCCGCCGCCGACCUCCUCCUGCCCACCCCCGCUCCCGCUCCGGAUCCAGCCCCCAGCCCACCAGCUCCACUUUCCUUCUAUAUCCGCCGCCACGCACGCCACCUCGGCGAAGCCGCGUCCGCAAGGACAAGCCUCCGGCUGCCGCAACCGCCUCUGCCCCGGCUAUAAAGGCGCGCACUUUGGCCGGUCCGCUCCUCCUCUCUUCGCCCAGGCCAUGCCUCUCGCCUCGAUUCGUCCUCAACUCCUGCCUCUCCUCCUCCCGCGUCUGGUUUCAUCUUGCUCCUCCUCGCUCGACUCGUCCGUUUAGACUAGAAAGAAUUGCUCGUCCUCGAUUCGUCUGUUUUGAAGCGCGUCUGAUUUGAUUGAUUUUGCUCGUCCGCGGUUCAUCCGUUUAGAUAGAAAUCACGUCUGGUUUCAUUUUGCUCGUCCUCGCCGUCGCCAGUUUAGCAUCGCUUCCGAGUUGAUUCUGCUCGUCCUCGCCGUCGCCAGUUUAGAAUCGCUUCUGAGUUGAUUUUGCUCGUCCUCGCCGUCGUCAGUGUAGAGUUGCGUGUGAUUUGAUUCUGCUCGUCCUCCCCGUCGUCCGUUUAGACCAGAAUCGCGUCUGUUUUGAUUUUCUUGUCCUCGCCGUCGUCAAUUUAGAUAGAAUCGCGUCUUGAUUUGAUUUUGCUCGUUCUCGUCCUAGUCCGUUUGGAAUCGCGUCUGAUUUGAUUCUGCUCGAUCCCCUGUGUUGCUGCUGGGUUCUUUACACUGAUUCUCUCGCGUGUUCUUCGUGCCGUCUCAUCGGGGGUAUCCGUGGAGGAAGCGAGCGGUCGGUCGGUCGGUCGGUUUGGGUCGUCUGGUUUGCGAACUAACAAGUCUGUUUGAGAAACUUCUGCGUGCGCUUUGUUAUCUGAGAGACGCUCACGUUCCUGCGUUUCGUAUUCGCGUCGGGCCCUUGUUCGCGUCUGCUUUUGAAAUUGGAAUUGCUGUUUAUCGUGCUCGUUCAGAUCGGUUCCUCUGUUCCGUCACCUGCGCUGUUCGUCGGUUACUUUCAUAUCUCAAACGCAUGCGCCCUUUGAUACUACUUGAUGGAUGUUCAGAUCUCAAAUGUUGUGUUGUUCAGACCGGUUAUUUUGAUUGAAAUUGGAUUGUUGGUCCUCUGUCGAUUCUUAUUCUACUUGAUGGAUGUUCAGGGUGUUACUAUGUUGUUUUCAAUUGCUUACUUCUUGUCAUGCUUUGCUCAUGUUCCCAUAUAUGGUGAUGCUCAUCAUACGAGUACUAGAUGAGGUGCUGCUAGUUAGUCCCCCUUAGACUUUGUUCUAGAUAAAAGAGCAUAACUCCAGAAUUUUGUCAUUACACACUUGGGCAUAUAAUUCUGUUGUGAGCAUAAUUCCAGAAUUUAUUUAUCUGUGAAAGCUUGUUCAUCACAUGUUUUUUGUCAAUGCUGCUAACUUUAUAGCUUUCUGAGAUUACUUCGGUCUUGCAUGUAUUAGCUUUCUGUUUGUGCCCCUAUCUAAGUCUGUUUCUUGUGUGCAAGCGCUCCAUUCUGUGUGUGUCACUGUGUGUGGCUUGAUGGUGAAUAUGUGUGGCUUUAUUCUCUGUGUGUGUGUGUGGCUUGAUGGUGAAUAUGUGUGGCUUGACUCUGUGUGUGUGUGUGUGGCUUGAUUGUGUGUGUGGCUUGACUGUGUGUGUGUGUGACUCUGUGAAUAUUGCAUUUGCUUGAUGGUGUGGCUGGUAUGCUUUGUUGAAUGAUUGGUUGUAUAACUUGUGUUUUAUAUUGUUGUGGCACGAUUGGUUGCUGUUUGUUGAAUGCGAACUCGUAUCUUGACGAAUAAUCAUGUAUGCUAACUUGGUAUUGGUAGUUCCUGAUCACCUAUUACUUGUUUAGUGUAGACUGACUAUUCUUUUUUCUGAACUUUUUUGUGAUUAUGUCUUCACAUUGCACUGCUCGAUCCAUAUCGACAUGCCCACGCUGUCUGGUGAGGAUAAAGAUGUUAUGAGAAAAAUAGGGUGCCCCAACCAAGAUUGACUUCCUCUCUCUUUCUUAUACAAGGCAUGCAGAAGAUGUGUGGCAAGCAUGGGAGUUCCUCUCAAAGUUAGGUGAUCUUAGCCAAACUCUGAUUUUUGCCAAAAUUGAGAAUGUGGAG